rnacentral:rRNA from 1 species
GGNGUUUUGGACAAUGGGCGCAAGCCUUGAUCCAGCCAUGCCGCGUGCAGGAAUGAAGGCCUUCGGGUUGUAAACUGCUUUUGUACGGAACGAAAAGGCCCUGGUGAACAACCGGGGUUGCUGACGGUACCGUAAGNAAUAAGCACCGGCUAACUACGUGCCAGCAGCCGCGGUAAUACGUAGGGUGCGAGCGUUAAUCANAAUUACUGGGCGUAAAGCGUGCGCAGGCGGACAUGCAAGACAGAUGUGAAAUCCCCGGGCUCAACCUGGGAACUGCAUAUGUGACUGUAUGACUGGAGUACGGCAGAGGGGGAUGGGAUUCCGCGUGUAGCAGUGAAAUGCGUAGAUAUGCGGAGGACCACCGAUGGCGAAGGCANUCCCCUGGNCCAGUACUGACGCUCAUGCACNAAAGCGUGGGGAGCAAACAGGAUUAGAUACCCUGGUAGUCCANGGGCGANUUCNAGCACACUGGCG